CGAUUAGCUGAUUGAUCGGUUGAUUGUCGCCGCCGCCGCGCGCUCGAGCCAGCUGAGCCUGUCCGCGGAUCGAUAAUCCUCUGAUCGGAAAACUGAUCUGCUCCAUCAGUCACCGAUCAGCCUCCUCACGGAGCUGGGCAGCAGCCUCCCUGCCGCGGGGCCCCGGGCCUCCGUCAGCGCCACGGGGCCCCGGGCCUCCGUCAGCGCCACAUGGGACGGCCUGAGCUGGGCCGGCCUGAGCUGGGACAGCUAACCCUAAGGCUCACCUUCAUCACCUGGCAGAGGACAUGCUGCCGCUUCAGGCCCGCUCCACCUGAAUCCAUGUUCCUCUGAUCAGCUGAUCGCGGCAGCAGAGCUCCGCCUGCCGGCGCUGGGUCGCUCUCACCGACUCCAUCAAAAUCAAGAAUAAAACGGAGUGCGAUCGUUUGCUUGUUUUUAUUUGUGUUUCAUCUGUUAAAAUGUUGGCUGUUCCUCUUUGGUUCUCCUCACUCGUGUUCUUGUGUUUGUAUCUUUAUACUGGAAAUGUUGGGAUUAUUCAUUUAGUUUGUGUUUUUAGUUUGAGGUGAAAAGUGGUAAUAAUCCGCUCCUCUCUUCUUGGUGUUUGUGUUUGGGAUGAUUUGCUCUGGCUAACAAACUACGACACUCAGUUUUUUCUUUGUUCCUUCUUUUUGAUAUUUAUGAGUCUUAUUUUGUAAGUAUUUCUAUAAUCAUAUCGCUGUAAAUGUUGGGAUUAUUCAUUUCUACGUGAAUUAAAACAAGAGUUUAAGGCAAACAUGCAGAGGCACUGAAACACGCCAUCCCAGCAUGCACCUGUGUGCCAGAUGUCCCUGUUAUUAUGAACCCCACCAGAGUUCUGGGCAAGACAUUACAUCUUACAGCCAACCACUUGUGGGCAUGGCACACCCAGAACCCCAGUGGGAUCCAUAAUCAGUGUGAAUGCUCGUUCAGAGCAAACCGAUUGGACCUCCUGCUC